ensembl:lncRNA
GGGUGUGCAUGUGAGAAAGGUUUUGGCUUUAGUGUCUAUGGGUUGGUAAUAAAGGUUCUGAUGAUUUUUCUGAUGGAAAAGUGGUCUUUUAUUUCCAUAAUCUUUGUUCAGUGAACGCCUAAACACGUUUGUUAGUUAGCAGUUAAACAAAAUGCGAUCUCUUUGUUUACAGUUACCAACGACCAACUGAUGAUUGGGGGUUCCAUUCCCUAGUGAUGCAAGGUUUUUUCUUUCAUUUUGGACUGCACACACAUCGCGUGUGACGGAUACUCGCACAAUGGCCAAGUACAAAAGCUGAAACAAUAGGGGAUUAUCACGCUUCCUGGUUCCGGUGGCGGGAUUUGUCUUCGUUGUGCAUGAACACUUCCGGCGCACUUCCACCAUGGCUGAAACAAAGGCGAGAUGUCACUGCUCUCUGUUCCACUUUGUACAUCUAACAAACACCAACCCUACUUAAGUUUUCAUGGAUUCCCGACUGAAAUGAGUCUAAGGAAGAAGUGGAUUCAAGCGGUUCGCCGGGAUGAAGGGCCAAACUUUAAAAUAAAACAAGGUAGCAUGUUUGUUUGUAGCCGGCACUUUAGUGAAUCAGACUACAAACGCUACAGCUAGCAACCAACCGGGGUCACACCAAGCGACUGAAAAUCGGGUCUGUACCCUCCCGUUUCCAGUGGAACAACUGGGGACUGCCAAGAAGGGGGUCUGUUUAUAAAAGAGCAUCAACUCGCUUAGGCCUUGACGUUCACCCAUCCCUUCCUCUGGAGCAACCGCUGCCCUGUGAAUAAGAGCCGAUGGAGGAGAUCGCAGCUUCGGUGGUGAUGACAGAACAUGAUUUCGGUUCUGCUCCUAAACCAGAGCUGACUGAACGAAGUGGACUGCUGGAUUUACUGGAGCCAGGAGAUGGCUGCAUGGCAGACAAGGGUUUCACCAUCGAGAAGCCACUAGCUGAUCGUGGGGCAACGCUGAUUAUACCACCCUUCAAGAUGACAGUUCACUGAAGAGGAUGCUCUGAAAACACAAGCAAUCGCUCGACUUCCGAAUCCUCGUAGAAAGAGCAAUAGGCAGAGUCAAGGAAUACCGCAUCUGGGAACGCACUGUCCUUUCACCUUGUCUGCGACAGUCAAUCAGCUGUGGACCGUCUGCUGUGUGAUGACCAACUUCCAGGGACCACUUGAUUUAAAAGGCUACAUCCCUGUUGAAUAGUGUUUCUACUCAAACAUGUACCUAUAAAUAUUAAAUAUAAUAUAUAAAUAUUAAAACGAGAGGCACUGAACAUUUGGAGUGGUCCCCUCAUUUUUUUCCGGAGCUGUAAUUUUGUACACUGAAAACAUUGUAUAUAUUGAAUGACAUGUAAUGUAAUUGAAUGAGAAGUCUUUCAUCUAUAAUCAAGUCCAGUCAGUCCAUCCUGAAAGUAUUCAAAAUAAUGUUAAUAUAUAAUGUAGUAAAUGAUGUACUCAG